UAUGGCAUAAAUCUCAGAUCAGUGAGGAAGAGUCCUAGGGAAUUGGAGACGUCGCGAAGGAAUGUUGUAAGGAGAAUUCAAGCCUAAAACGGUUCUGAGCACUGAUUUCAUCAAGCCGAUGGAGGCAACAACAUAUUCCUUAGGGAAAAUUAAGAUGCACAGUAUGCUUCAAGAUGAUGGCCAAGAACAACCAACUCAACGAGCCUUCAGGAAUUCAUGAUUUGAAUAUCAUGUUCAAGGCUGCCUUCUAGAUAAAGAUCAAACCAAGAAAGUCCAUGUGUCACUGCUCCGUGAAGGCUCCGGGUGGAACUCCCUGCCCCACUCCACCUUUAAGAUUUCCAGCACAGUGUCUUCACCUCCUUCAGCGCCCCUGUUUACAUGUCCAUCUCUCUCUUUAGAAGCUACAGACAUCAGCAAACUCGAGAAAAGAAGGUUUGCUCUGGGAGAUUCUACAUGUGACCUGUUUAUAUGUAAUUAUAUUAUCUAUUACUCAAGUAUUUGUCUUGUGCUGUCUAAAUUAUAAGCUUCUCAACUGUUUGCCUUGAGUGAGAUGUGCACGCUAAAGCCUCUCAAUAAAUAUUAAUUGAAUGAAUAAUUGAAAAAAACCCUGACUGCCUUUUUACUUAAAUCCAAGCCUUUGCUAAGUUUUAACUUUC
rnacentral:lncRNA from 1 species